rnacentral:rRNA from 1 species
AUUGAACGCUGGCGGCAGGCCUAACACAUGCGAGUCGAGCGGAUGAAGGGAGCUUGCUCCUGGAUUCAGCGGCGGACGGGUGAGUAAUGCCUAGGAAUCUGCCUGGUAGUGGGGGAUAACGUCCGGAAACGGGCGCUAAUACCGCAUACGUCCUGAGGGAGAAAGUGGGGGAUCUUCGGACCUCACGCUAUCAGAUGAGCCUAGGUCGGAUUAGCUAGUUGGUGGGGUAAAGGCCUACCAAGGCGACGAUCCGUAACUGGUCUGAGAGGAUGAUCAGUCACACUGGAACUGAGACACGGUCCAGACUCCUACGGGAGGCAGCAGUGGGGAAUAUUGGACAAUGGGCGAAAGCCUGAUCCAGCCAUGCCGCGUGUGUGAAGAAGGUCUUCGGAUUGUAAAGCACUUUAAGUUGGGAGGAAGGGCAGUAAGUUAAUACCUUGCUGUUUUGACGUUACCAGCAGAAUAAGCACCGGCUAACUUCGUG